rnacentral:rRNA from 1 species
UGGGGAAUAUUGCACAAUGGGCGCAAGCCUGAUGCAGCCAUGCCGCGUGUAUGAAGAAGGCCUUCGGGUUGUAAAGUACUUUCAGCGGGGAGGAAGGGAGUAAAGUUAAUACCUUUGCUCAUUGACGUUACCCGCAGAAGAAGCACCGGCUAACUCCGUGCCAGCAGCCGCGGUAAUACGGAGGGUGCAAGCGUUAAUCGGAAUUACUGGGCGUAAAGCGCACGCAGGCGGUUUGUUAAGUCAGAUGUGAAAUCCCCGGGCUCAACCUGGGAACUGCAUCUGAUACUGGCAAGCUUGAGUCUCGUAGAGGGGGGUAGAAUUCCAGGUGCAGCGGUGAAAUGCGUAGAGAUCUGGAGGAAUACCGGUGGCGAAGGCGGCCCCCUGGACGAAGACUGACGCUCAGGUGCGAAAGCGUGGGGAGCAAACAGG